rnacentral:rRNA from 1 species
UGAACGCUGGCGGCGUGCUUAACACAUGCAAGUCGAGCGAGAAGUUUUGAAAAGAUUCUUCGGAUGAAAUUUAAAAUGGAAAGCGGCGGACGGGUGAGUAACGCGUAGGCAACCUGCCCCAUACAAAGGGAUAGCAUUUGGAAACGAAUAUUAAUACCUUAUGAAACUUAACUAGUGCAUGCUAGGUAGGUCAAAGAUUUAUCGGUAUGGGAUGGGCCUGCGUCUGAUUAGCUAGUUGGUGAGGUAACGGCUCACCAAGGCGACGAUCAGUAGCCGACCUGAGAGGGUGAACGGCCACAUUGGAACUGAGACACGGUCCAAACUCCUACGGGAGGCAGCAGUGGGGAAUAUUGCACAAUGGGGGAAACCCUGAUGCAGCAACGCCGCGUGAACGAUGAAGGCCUUUGGGUCGUAAAGUUCUGUUCUAGGUGAUGAAAACUGACAGUAACCUAGGAGAAAGCCCCGGCUAACUCCGU